rnacentral:rRNA from 1 species
AGUGAACGCUGGCGGUAGGCCUAACACAUGCAAGUCGAACGGCAGCACAGGAGAGCUUGCUCUCUGGGUGGCGAGUGGCGGACGGGUGAGGAAUACGUCGGAAUCUACUCUGUCGUGGGGGAUAACGUAGGGAAACUUACGCUAAUACCGCAUACGACCUACGGGUGAAAGCAGGGGACCUUCGGGCCUUGCGCGAUUGAAUGAGCCGAUGUCGGAUUAGCUAGUUGGCGGGGUAAAGGCCCACCAAGGCGACGAUCCGUAGCUGGUCUGAGAGGAUGAUCAGCCACACUGGAACUGAGACACGGUCCAGACUCCUACCGGAGGCAGCAGUGGGGAAUAUUGGACAAUGGGCGCAAGCCUGAUCCAGCCAUACCGCGUGGGUGAAGAAGGCCUUCGGGUUGUAAAGCCCUUUUGUUGGGAAAGAAAUCCAGCUGGCUAAUACCCGGUUGGGAUGACGGUACCCAGAGAAUAAGCACCGGCUAACUUCGUGCCAGCCGCCGCGGUAA